GCCUACGGGAGGCAGCAGUGAGGAAUAUUGGUCAAUGGACGCAAGUCUGAACCAGCCAAGUAGCGUGCAGGAUGACGGCCCUCCGGGUUGUAAACUGCUUUUAGUUGGGAAUAAAAGGGGGCUCGUGAGCCCCGUAUUGUAUGUACCAUCAGAAAAAGGACCGGCUAAUUCCGUGCCAGCAGCCGCGGUAAUACGGAAGGUCCGGGCGUUAUCCGGAUUUAUUGGGUUUAAAGGGAGCGUAGGCCGGCUUUUAAGUCAGCUGUGAAAGUCCGCGGCUCAACCGGGGAAUUGCAGUUGAAACUGGG
rnacentral:rRNA from 1 species